rnacentral:rRNA from 1 species
GACGAACGCUGGCGGCGUGCUUAACACAUGCAAGUCGAACGGCAAGGCCCUGCUUUUGUGGGGUGCUCGAGUGGCGAACGGGUGAGUAACACGUGAGUAACCUGACCUUGACUUUGGGAUAACUUCAGGAAACUGGGGCUAAUACCGGAUAGGAGCUCCUGCUGCAUGGUGGGGGUUGGAAAGUUUCGGCGGGUGGGGAUGGACUCGCGGCUUAUCAGCUUGUUGGUGGGGUAGUGGCUUACCAAGGCUGUGACGGGUAGCCGGCCUGAGAGGGUGACCGGCCACAUUGGGACUGAGAUACGGCCCAGACUCCUACGGGAGGCAGCAGUGGGGAGUAUUGCACAGUGGGCGGAAGCCUGAUGCAGCAACGCCGCGUGCGGGAUGACGGCCUGCGGGUUGUGAACCGCUUUCGCCUGUGACGAAGCGUGAGUGACGGUAAUGGGUAAAGAAGCACCGGCUAACUACGUG